rnacentral:rRNA from 1 species
GUUCUGUUGCCAGCGCUUGAUUGCGCGGCGACUCCUUCUACACAUGUUUUAUUAUUAUUGAAUUGAAGAGAGAGCAAUCUCUCUUUCAUAUAAACACAAGAUUUAAUUCUUCUUUUAACUAUUGUCAGAAUAAAUUUAACAAAUAUUCAAAACUUUCAACAACGGAUCUCUUGGUUCUCGCAACGAUGAAGAACGCAGCGAAUUGCGAUAAGUAUUGUGAAUUGCAGAUUUCGUGAAUCAUCGAAUCUUUGAACGCACAUUGCGCCCUCUGGUAUUCCGGAGGGCAUGCCUGUUUGAGCGUCAUUUCUCUCUCACAAAGCCAUCUUUUUUUGAUGGAUAUUUGUGGUCUUGAGUGAUACUCAGCUUAAUGGGUUAACUUGAAAUAGUUUCAGGUUGUGUGGAGCGUAUCUAUGCCCUUUUGACUAAUGUAUUAGGUUCUGCCGACUCAUUAAGCAAGAGAAGUAAAAAGAUUUGUUUCAUGGCACAUCCGACAAAUUACCAAAGUUUGACCUCAAAUCAGGU